GCCUGAUGCAGCAACGCCGCGUGAGGGACGACGGCCUUCGGGUUGUAAACCUCUUUUAGCAGGGAAGAAGCGAAAGUGACGGUACCUGCAGAAAAAGCACCGGCUAACUACGUGCCAGCAGCCGCGGUAAUACGUAGGGUGCAAGCGUUAUCCGGAAUUAUUGGGCGUAAAGAGCUCGUAGGCGGUUUGUCGCGUCUGCUGUGAAAUCUGGGGGCUCAACCCCCAGCCUGCAGUGGGUACGGGCAGACUAGAGUGCGGUAGGGGAGAUUGGAAUUCCUGGUGUAGCGGUGGAAUGCGCAGAUAUCAGGAGGAACACCGAUGGCGAAGGCAGAUCUCUGGGCCGUAACUGACGCUGAGGAGCGAAAGGGUGGGGAGCAAACAGGCUUAGAUACCCUGGUAGUCCACCCCGUAAACGUUGGGAACUAGUUGUGGGGUCCAUUCCACGGAUUCCGUGACGCAGCUAACGCAUUAAGUUCCCCGCCUGGGGAGUACGGCCGCAAGGCUAAAACUCAAAGGAAUUGACGGGGACCCGCACAAGCGGCGGAGCAUGCGGAUUAAUUCGAUGCAACGCGAAGAACCUUACCAAGGCUUGACAUAUACGAGAACACCGUGGAAACACGGGACUCUUUGGACACUC
rnacentral:rRNA from 2 species